GGGGAUUCUCAGUAAGUGCUGCGAGUGUUCUGCGGACGACAAUAGCAUCGGCAGAGGGUAGCUUUAAUGCCCAAAGUCCAAGAGUCUUUUGAUAUUCUAUCAGUGAUCCUUUGGGAGGUGGAGGACCAGGGAUCACAGGCCUAGCUCUCCUGGGCCUUGACUUCCUCAGCGCCUGCAGCUGCUUCACAUUAGCCACACCCAGCACCGCCGACUCAUACGUCCCAAAAUUCCCCACAA
rnacentral:misc_RNA from 1 species